CUAAAAACACAGCACUCUGCAAACUUGCAAAAGGAAGUAUAGAGUGUGACGCCUGCCCGGUGCUGGAAGGUUAAGUGAUGAUGUUAGUCUUUGGACGAAGCAUUUGACCGAAGCCCCAGUGAACGGCGGCCGUAACUAUAACGGUCCUAAGGUAGCGAAAUUCCUUGUCGGGUAAGUUCCGACCUGCACGAAUGGCGUAACGACUUCCCCGCUGUCUCCGGCAUCGACUCAGUGAAAUUGAAUUCCCCGUGAAGAUGCGGGGUAUCUGCGGUCAGACGGAAAGACCCCGUGAACCUUUACUAUAGCUUUGCACUGGACUUUGAAUUUGCUUGUGUAGGAUAGGUGGGAGGCUUUGAAGCGUGGACGCCAGUUCGCGUGGAGCCAACCUUGAAAUACCACCCUGGCAACUUUGAGGUUCUAACUCAGGUCCGUUAUCCGGAUCGAGGACAGUGUAUGGUGGGUAGUUUGACUGGGGUGGUCGCCUCCAAAAAUGUAACGGAGGCUUCCAAAGGUACUCUCAGCACGGUUGGUAAUCGUGUGUAGCGCGCAAUAGCAUAAGAGUGCUUCACUGUGAGACUUACAAGUCGAACAGGAACGAAAGUUGGGUAUAGUGAUCCGGUGGUUCCAUAUGGAAGGGCCAUCGCUCAAAGGAUAAAAGGUACUCCGGGGAUAACAGGCUGAUGACGCCCAAGAGUUCAUAUCGACGGCGUUGUUUGGCACCUCGAUGUCGACUCAUCGCAUCCUGGGGUCGGAGAAGGUCCCAAGGGUUCGGCUGUUCGCCGAUUAAAGCGGUACGUGAGUUGGGUUUAGAACGUCGCGAGACAGUUCGGAUCCUAUCUGCCGCGGGUGUUUGGAGAAUUGAGAGGAGCCGUCCCUAGUACGAGAGGACCGGGACGGACGCGCCUCCGGUGCAUCUGUUGUUUCGCCAGAAGCAUAGCAGAGUAGCCGCGCGCGGAUCGGAUAACCGCUGAAAGCAUCUUAAGCGGGAAGCCGUCCUCGAAACGAGUUCUCCCUAUCAGAGCUGCGGAAGAUCACCGCGUUGAUAGGCUGAAGGUGGACGCGCCGCGAGGCGUGAAGCCGAUCAGUACUAAUCGC
rnacentral:rRNA from 1 species